rnacentral:rRNA from 1 species
AUUGAACGCUGGCGGCAGGCCUAACACAUGCAAGUCGAACGGUAGCACAGAGAGCUUGCUCUCGGGUGACGAGUGGCGGACGGGUGAGUAAUGUCUGGGAAACUGCCUGAUGGAGGGGGAUAACUACUGGAAACGGUAGCUAAUACCGCAUAACGUCGCAAGACCAAAGAGGGGGACCUUCGGGCCUCUUGCCAUCAGAUGUGCCCAGAUGGGAUUAGCUAGUAGGCGGGGUAAUGGCCCACCUAGGCGACGAUCCCUAGCUGGUCUGAGAGGAUGACCAGCCACACUGGAACUGAGACACGGUCCAGACUCCUACGGGAGGCAGCAGUGGGGAAUAUUGCACAAUGGGCGCAAGCCUGAUGCAGCCAUGCCGCGUGUGUGAAGAAGGCCUUCGGGUUGUAAAGCACUUUCAGCGGGGAGGAAGGCGAUAAGGUUAAUAACCUUGUCGAUUGACGUUACCCGCAGAAGAAGCACCGGCUAACUCCGUGCCAGCAGCCGCGGUAAUACGGAGGGUGCAAGCGUUAAUCGGAAUUACUGGGCGUAAAGCGCACGCAGGCGGUCUGUCAAGUCGGAUGUGAAAUCCCCGGGCUCAACCUGGGAACUGCAUUCGAAACUGGCAGGCUAGAGUCUUGUAGAGGGGGGGUGGAAUUCCAGGUGUAGCGGUGAAAUGCGUAGAGAUCUGGAGGAAUACCGGUGGCGAAGGCGGCCCCCUGGACAAAGACUGACGCUCAGGUGCGAAAGCGUGGGGAGCAAACAGGAUUAGAUACCCUGGUAGUCCACGCCGUAAACGAUGUCGAUUUGGAGGUUGUGCCCUUGAGGCGUGGCUUCCGGAGCUAACGCGUUAAAUCGACCGCCUGGGGAGUACGGCCGCAAGGUUAAAACUCAAAUGAAUUGACGGGGGCCCGCACAAGCGGUGGAGCAUGUGGUUUAAUUCGAUGCAACGCGAAGAACCUUACCUGGUCUUGACAUCCACAGAACUUUCCAGAGAUGGAUUGGUGCCUUCGGGAACUGUGAGACAGGUGCUGCAUGGCUGUCGUCAGCUCGUGUUGUGAAAUGUUGGGUUAAGUCCCGCAACGAGCGCAACCCUUAUCCUUUGUUGCCAGCGGUUAGGCCGGGAACUCAAAGGAGACUGCCAGUGAUAAACUGGAGGAAGGUGGGGAUGACGUCAAGUCAUCAUGGCCCUUACGACCAGGGCUACACACGUGCUACAAUGGCAUAUACAAAGAGAAGCGACCUCGCGAGAGCAAGCGGACCUCAUAAAGUAUGUCGUAGUCCGGAUUGGAGUCUGCAACUCGACUCCAUGAAGUCGGAAUCGCUAGUAAUCGUAGAUCAGAAUGCUACGGUGAAUACGUUCCCGGGCCUUGUACACACCGCCCGUCACACCAUGGGAGUGGGUUGCAAAAGAAGUAGGUAGCUUAACCUUCGGGAGGGCGCUUACCACUUUGUGAUUCAUGACUGGGGUGA